rnacentral:rRNA from 1 species
AUUGAACGCUGGCGGCAUGCUUUACACAUGCAAGUCGAACGGUAACAGGCCUUCGGGUGCUGACGAGUGGCGAACGGGUGAGUAAUGCAUCGGAACGUGCCCAGAGGUGGGGGAUAACGCAGCGAAAGCUGUGCUAAUACCGCAUGUGAUCUGAGGAUGAAAGCGGGGGACCAAGCAGCAAUGUUUGGCCUCGCGCCUCUGGAGCGGCCGAUGUCAGAUUAGGUAGUUGGUGGGGUAAAGGCCUACCAAGCCGACGAUCUGUAGCUGGUCUGAGAGGACGACCAGCCACACUGGGACUGAGACACGGCCCAGACUCCUACGGGAGGCAGCAGUGGGGAAUUUUGGACAAUGGGCGCAAGCCUGAUCCAGCAAUGCCGCGUGCGGGAAGAAGGCCUUCGGGUUGUAAACCGCUUUUGUACGGAACGAAAAGGCUCUGGCUAAUACCUGGGGCUGAUGACGGUACCGUAAGAAUAAGCACCGGCUAGCUACGUG